CUACGGGGGGCAGCAGUGGGGAAUAUUGGACAAUGGGGGAAACCCUGAUCCAGCAAUGCCGCGCGUGUGAAGAAGGCCUGCGGGUUGUAAAGCACUUUCGGUUGGGAGGACUGCUUCUAGCACUAAUAUUGUUGGAAGUUGACGUUACCUUCAGAAGAAGCACCGGCUAACUCCGUGCCAGCAGGGCCGCGGUAAUAGCGGAGGGUGCAAGCGUUAAUCGGAAUUACUGGGCGUAAAGCGCGCGUAGGCGGCUAGAUCAGUCGGGUGUGAAAGCCCCGGGCUUAACCUGGGAACUGCAUCCGAUACUGUCUAGCUUGAGUACAGGAGAGGAGAGUGGAAUUCCACAUGUAGCGGUGAAAUGCGUAGAUAUGUGGAGGAACACCAAUGGCGAAGGCAGCUCUCUGGCCUGAUACUGACGCUGAGGUGCGAAAGCGUGGGGAGCAAACAGGAUUAGAUACCCCUGUAGUC
rnacentral:rRNA from 1 species